UUCAUUGAAACUAAAAAGUAGCCAACCAAUCAAUAAGUGAUUGGUCGGAGUGGUAGUACUCAGUCCCCUUAAACAAAGACCCCAUCAAAGGUAACUAGCCAAGUUCUCGGAGAUUAGUCAUGCAGAAAACCGGUGGAUACAUGUAAUAAAAAAACGGUACAAAACCAAAUGAUUAUUCAUUUAACCUUUUUUGUUUUGUUUUCAGUUACCUUCAUGAUACCAAUGAUGGUGCCGCUGUACUCGGGGAAAUUGCGCAAGCCGGUGACGACAUUGGUGGUAUUCAAGAAGGUCUGGCCGUUGGACGCGAGCCACGCAAAGAAGCACAUGACCGGCACGGGCGGCGGGCUUAUAAGGC
rnacentral:lncRNA from 1 species